rnacentral:rRNA from 1 species
UACGAAGGGGGCUAGCGUUGCUCGGAAUCACUGGGCGUAAAGGGUGCGUAGGCGGGUUUCUAAGUCAGAGGUGAAAUCCUGGAGCUCAACUCCAGAACUGCCUUUGAUACUGGAAGUCUUGAGUAUGGGAGAGGUGAGUGGAACUGCGAGUGUAGAGGUGAAAUUCGUAGAUAUUCGCAAGAACACCAGUGGCGAAGGCGGCUCACUGGGUCAUUACUGACGCUGAGGCACGAAAGCGUGGGGAGCAAACAGG